rnacentral:rRNA from 1 species
GGCCUUUUGAUUAUAAUUUAAGGUCUGACCUGCCCGAUGAGAUUUCAAUGGCUGCGGUAUUUUGACCGUACAAAGGUAGCAUAAUCAUUAGUUUUUUAAUUAGAAGCUUGUAUGAAUGGUUUGAUGAGAAAAAUUCUGUCUCUGUAUAAAUUUAAUAGAAUUUUAUUUUUAAGUUAAAAAGCUUAAAUAUUAUUGAAAGACGAGAAGACCCUAUAGAGUUUAAUAUUUUCUAUUAGUUAAUUUUUUAAGUAUUAUAUUAUUAUAAUUAAUUUAGAAUAUUUUAUUGGGGUGAUAGAAAAAUUUAAUUAACUUUUUCUUUUUCUAAUCAUUUUUUUAUGAAUUUUUGAUCCAUUUUAUUGAUUAUAAGAUUAAAUUACCUUAGGGAUAACAGCGUUAUUUUUUUGGAGAGUUCUUAUCGAUAAAAAAGUUUGCGACCUCGAUGUUGGAUUAAAAUUAACUAUUGGCGUAGAAGUUAAUGGGUUGGGUCUGUUCGACCUUUAANAUUUUACGUGAUCUGAGU